rnacentral:rRNA from 1 species
UACGAAAGGUCCAAGCGUUACUCGGAAUUACUGGGCGUAAAGCGUGCGUAGACGGUAGCGUAAGUCGGGUGUGAAAGCCCCGGGCUCAACCUGGGAAUUGCAUUCGAGACUGCUCUGCUAGGGUGCGGAAGAGGGAAGCGGAAUUUCCGGUGUAGCGGUGAAAUGCGUAGAUAUCGGAAGGAACACCAGUGGCGAAAGCGGCUUCCUGGUCCAGCACCGACGUUCAGGCACGAAAGCGUGGGGAGCAAACAGG